UAUACCUCAACCUGGUGGCUCUUUUUGUGGCCGGUCAGAGCAUACAUAAUAUUGCCAGCAACGGCGUUUGCGAUCUCAACGCCUUUGUCCGAGUUGGAGAUAUUCUACGUUGGGAAAAUCCAACGAACCAAACAAUCUACAUCAAAGGAGAACAAUGCCACACAAAACUUAGCAUUGUCAUUCCACCUAAACAUAAUGCGAGGUAUGUCUUUCAGCUUCGUGGUGUAUGUCAAUAUCGCUCCAGUGCUUGUCCGUCAGAGCUCGGAAUUUUAAAUGUCAAAGCAAGUCGAAUUCAACGACGGAGCAUUACCACCUCAUUCCCGACCACCCAAGGACCACUGUGCAUGGCACUCUGUCAGGGAACAUAUAUAUCACUUAGAGAUAUCACCAGUGCCAAUCUAUGUCAUUAUCAAUAUGCCUAUGUUGUGCGUGGUGAUGUAAAAAGAUAUUACACAGUAAAAAGCGGUAAAGAGUAUCUUGAAUUGUCCGUAAAGAAUGAUUAUCUUCUACCGGUUUGUUCGAGUAAUUGUUUACCGACUCCAACAUACAAAUCAUCUCUCUUAUGGAUGCCAACUUCUCAGAACUGUACAUGCCCAAAAUUUAAGGUCGGUAGCGAUCUCCUCGUCAUGGGUUUUCGUUAUGGCACUGAACUCGCAUUUAGUACAACUGGCAAAUAUGCCGAUUGGGAUCCGAAAAUGGCCACGAAACUUCUUGCCUAUCAACGCAAGGUGAACAGAAAUCCACCUUGUUCCUGAAUCGCAAACAGAAAUUGCAAAAACCAGAAGACCAGCAGAAAAGAUGCCGUAUCAGUUGCAAGGUCAUACGCAAGUUGUCUUCACAUGCUGUACCAGGUGUACAAAGUUUGAGACAGACUAUAUAUAACUAAUUUAAGUAUAUUUUGUGCUAUGUAUAUAAUGUGAUUGUGCACAGAGGACGAUACAGACAAAUGCCAAGUCUGGCAAGUUACGCGGCACGCUAAUAUAUAUUAAGGCAGAUUUAACUGAGACCACGCGGCAGGACGCGAUUUGGCAACGCGG